CACCGUUGGUAGUGGGCAGGUUCCAGAGCAGGGGCCUGAGGGACCAGCGUAGGUUAGGGCUGACCUGUGAAGGCUAAGAGAAGGACAUAAGGAGGAAGGAGCUGGGGGUGCCUGUUCUUCCUCUUUGGUCUCAGGAAGAGGAGGUUGAGGUGAGUUGACCAGGAAAUCUUUGAAGUUUCCUGGUUGAGAGUUCUGGAGUGGACAACUGAAAAUAGGGAAGAGGGUGGGAUUUGUUUCACAGCCUUUAGAAAAAUUGGGAUUUUCCCUCAAGGUCAUGAAGGUUUUCACAUAAGGGACCUCUGACCAUUUGCGGUGGCACCGGCAGUAGAGGUCGAGCUGGAGUAUGGUAUUCAUAUUUAAGCUCCCCCACACUGGCCAGGCUUCCUGCCCUUCUAGGUUAUAUUUUGGCCAAACUUUAUUGCAAAGGAAAAUCAGUCUUUUUUGUUUUACAGUGUGGAGAUCAAACUUAUCCCAGUUUUGAAGGAUGCAUCCAAGAGGGGAAUCCCAGGGUACAGAGAUCUUGUUACCCAUCUGAAAGAGAAGACAGUUGGCCCCUUGCUGGCUGGACUCGCCCAACCCUGGCUCCCGCCCUGUGCCACGCAGUCUCCUGCGGACCCGGAAGCAGAUCGCCGGAAUCAAAGUUGCUCCACCACGUGUGAGUUUCCCUCUGUCUACAUUAACAUUAAAUUUGGGGUCUGGGCGCUGUGGCUCACAUCUAUAAUCCCAGCAUUUCGGGAGGCGAAGGUGAGCGGAUCACUUGAGGUCAGGAGUUCAAGACCAGCCUGGUCAACAGGGCGAAACCCGUUGCUUUUAAAAAUACAAAAAUGCUCCGGGCGUGAUGGCCUGCGCUUUUAAUCCAGCUACUCGGGAGGCUGAGGCAGGAGAAUCACUUGAACCCGGGCGGCGGCGGUUGCAGUGAGCCUAAAUUUCACCCCUACGCUGCAGCCUGGGCGACAGCGGGAGUUUGUCUGAAAAAAAAAAAAAAAAGUAGAGAAGAGGCCGACCUCAAAGAAAUGGACAGCAUGAUAGGGAGCGGGGCAGCAAAGGCGGAGGCGCCCCAGAGUCGGAGAGAAGGAGUGAUUUCGAGCCAGGGCAGA